rnacentral:rRNA from 1 species
GUGCCAGCAGCCGCGGUAAGACAGAGGGCGCGAGCGUUGUUCGGAAUUACUGGGCGUAAAGCGCGCGCAGGCGGAUCUGCAAGUCUGGAGUGAAAUCCCGCCGCUCAACGGCGGGGCUGCUUUGGAAACUGCAGGUCUAGGGAGCGGUAGAGGCCGGUAGAAUUCCCGGUGUAGCGGUGGAAUGCGUAGAGAUCGGGAAGAAUACCCGUGGCGAAGGCGGCCGGCUGGGCCGGAUCCGACGCUGAGGCGCGAAAGCGUGGGGAGCAAACAGGAUUAGAAACCCGUGUAGUCC